rnacentral:tRNA from 1 species
GACCGCGUAGCUCAGUUGGAAGAGCAUUGGGCUAGUAUUCCAAAGGUGGUAGGUUCGAAUCCCACCGUGGCCG